AUGAACGCUAGCGACAGGCUUAACACAUGCAAGUCGAGGGGCAGCGGGGGUAGCGAUACCCGCCGGCGACCGGCGCACGGGUGAGUAACGCGUAUGCAACUUGCCUAUCAGAGGGGGAUAACCCGGCGAAAGUCGGACUAAUACCGCAUGAAGCAGGGGCCCCGCAUGGGGGUAUUUGCUAAAGAUUCAUCGCUGAUAGAUAGGCAUGCGUUCCAUUAGGCAGUUGGCGGGGUAACGGCCCACCAAACCGACGAUGGAUAGGGGUUCUGAGAGGAAGGUCCCCCACAUUGGUACUGAGACACGGACCAAACUCCUACGGGAGGCAGCAGUGAGGAAUAUUGGUCAAUGGCCGAGAGGCUGAACCAGCCAAGUCGCGUGAGGGAUGAAGGUUCUAUGGAUCGUAAACCUCUUUUAUAAGGGAAUAAAGUGCGGGACGUGUCCCGUUUUGUAUGUACCUUAUGAAUAAGGAUCGGCUAACUCCGUGCCAGCAGCCGCGGUAAUACGGAGGAUCCGAGCGUUAUCCGGAUUUAUUGGGUUUAAAGGGUGCGUAGGCGGCCUUUUAAGUCAGCGGUGAAAGUCUGUGGCUCAACCAUAGAAUUGCCGUUGAAACUGGGGGGCUUGAGUAUGUUUGAGGCAGGCGGAAUGCGUGGUGUAGCGGUGAAAUGCUUAGAUAUCACGCAGAACCCCGAUUGCGAAGGCAGCCUGCCAAGCCAUUACUGACGCUGAUGCACGAAAGCGUGGGGAUCAAACAGGAUUAGAUACCCUGGUAGUCCACGCAGUAAACGAUGAUCACUAGCUGUUUGCGAUACAUUGUAAGCGGCACAGCGAAAGCGUUAAGUGAUCCACCUGGGGAGUACGCCGGCAACGGUGAAACUCAAAGGAAUUGACGGGGGCCCGCACAAGCGGAGGAACAUGUGGUUUAAUUCGAUGAUACGCGAGGAACCUUACCCGGGUUUGAACGCAUUCGGACCGAGGUGGAAACACCUUUUCUAGCAAUAGCCGUUUGCGAGGUGCUGCAUGGUUGUCGUCAGCUCGUGCCGUGAGGUGUCGGCUUAAGUGCCAUAACGAGCGCAACCCUUGCCACUAGUUACUAACAGGUAAAGCUGAGGACUCUGGUGGGACUGCCAGCGUAAGCUGCGAGGAAGGCGGGGAUGACGUCAAAUCAGCACGGCCCUUACAUCCGGGGCGACACGCGUGUUACAAUGGCGUGGACAAAGGGAAGCCACCUGGCGACAGGGAGCGAAUCCCCAAACCACGUCUCAGUUCGGAUCGGAGUCUGCAACCCGACUCCGUGAAGCUGGAUUCGCUAGUAAUCGCGCAUCAGCCAUGGCGCGGUGAAUACGUUCCCGGGCCUUGUACACACCGCCCGUCAAGCCAUGGGAGCCGGGGGUACCUGAAGUCCGUAACCGAAAGGAUCGGCCUAGGGUAAAACUGGUGACUGGGGCU
rnacentral:rRNA from 1 species